AUGCCAACGGAUGGCCACACGCGCAAGCAACCGACAACUCCGACAUUGACGACGAGCAACACAAGGGAAAUAUGCAGGAUUUGCGCCGACCGUGCCCAAAAGAGCACCUCGGACACGCCGGGAAGAACCGACUACCGAAGACCAUGCCGCAACCCAAGCUCUUCUCGACGCCAUCAUCGUUGCCAAACAGGAACCAGCGCCCCGCCUCAGCAAACCACGCGGCGAAGAUGCCGCCAUCGACGGCGAAGAUGCCAUCAUCCUCCAGUCUCUCAGUCGUUGCCGGCUCCGAGACGAUGCCCCCAAGAAGGAGAAAGACGCGAACACGCCUCCAUCGCCCGAUCCAGCGGAUCUGAGGUUUCCCUCCGGAGCCCAAGCCGUGGGGAGAGGGAGCACCUCCACGACGACGCUUCCAAGAAAGAUCACGGCACCCGCGGGCGCCGCCGUCACCGGCUCCGGUGA
rnacentral:rRNA from 1 species